AUUGAACGCUGGCGGCAGGCCUAACACAUGCAAGUCGAGCGGAUGACGGGAGCUUGCUCCUUGAUUCAGCGGCGGACGGGUGAGUAAUGCCUAGGAAUCUGCCUGGUAGUGGGGGACAACGCUUCGAAAGGAACGCUAAUACCGCAUACGUCCUACGGGAGAAAGCAGGGGACCUUCGGGCCUUGCGCUAUCAGAUGAGCCUAGGUCGGAUUAGCUAGUUGGUGGGGUAAUGGCUCACCAAGGCGACGAUCCGUAACUGGUCUGAGAGGAUGAUCAGUCACACGGGAACUGAGACACGGUCCAGACUCCUACGGGAGGCAGCAGUGGGGAAUAUUGGACAAUGGGCGAAAGCCUGAUCCAGCCAUGCCGCGUGUGUGAAGAAGGUUUUCGGAUUGUAAAGCACUUUAAGUUGGGAGGAAGGGCAGUAAGCUAAUACCUUGCUGUUUUGACGUUACCGACAGAAUAAGCACCGGCUAACUCUGUGCCAGCCGCCGCAGUAACAC
rnacentral:rRNA from 1 species